AUUUGUUUAAGGCAUGAGUGAGUGUUACUGUUUGUUUAAGGCAUGAGUGAGUGCAUUUGCUAUUUGUUUAAGGCAUGAAUCAGUGUGUUACUGUUUGUUUAAGGCAUGAGUGAGUGUUACUGUUUGUUUUAGGCAUGAGUGAGUGUUACUGUUUGUUUAAGGCA